GCAGCUGUGGCUGAAUGUUUACGGUGUUCGGUGUUGUAAGCGAAUGGUUCUGGGUUCGAUUCCCAUCUGCUCCC
rnacentral:tRNA from 1 species